rnacentral:rRNA from 1 species
UACGAGGGGUGCAAGCGUUGCUCGGAAUUAUUGGGCGUAAAGGGUAGGUAGGUGGUCUCAUUUGUCUUAUGUGAAAGCCUUGGGCUUAACUCAAGAAGUGCGUAAGAAACGGUGAGACUGGAGUCCUGGAGAGGUGAGUGGAAUUCCUGGUGUAGCGGUGAAAUGCGCAGAUAUCAGGAGGAACACCGAUUGCGAAGGCAGCUCGCUGGGACGUUACUGACGCUGAGACGCGAAAGCGUGGGGAGCAAACAGG